UACAGAGGGUGCGAGCGUUAAUCGGAAUUACUGGGCGUAAAGCGUGCGUAGACGGCUAUCUAAGUCGGGUGUGAAAGCCCCGGGCUCAACCUGGGAAUUGCAUUCGAGACUGAAUAGCUAGGGUGCGGUAGAGGGAAGCGGAAUUUCCGGUGUAGCGGUGAAAUGCGUAGAUAUCUGGAGGAACACCGGUGGCGAAGGCGGCAUCCUGGACCA
rnacentral:rRNA from 1 species